CUGCAUUUUUAACAAGCAAGUCUGGUUAUUUGUUAAGCAGUCUAAAGUUUGAGAAGCACUGAUCGAUGUUAGUGAGGUCCUCCCUUCCUAGGUUGAUUUGAAUACACAAUACCAGAGGGCACGGUGAGAUGACUCAGAGGACAAGUGGCUGCAGCUUUGGGAACUAUCAGAGAUGACAAAUAAGAGAGAUGGAUAUACAAGCAAAUGUCCUAAUGACUAGAAGCAGAAGGAGAGAAAAAGUAAGAUAAAGAGAAGUGGGGAGACUAUAUGAAGAAAAGAGCUGACAGUACAGAUGCUUUAACCCAUGAAUCUUUUAUUUUUUUCAUAUACACCUUGUUAUUGAAAAUGAAUGGCAUGAACUUAUGUUACCCGAGAACAGUAUGGAGUGUGAAACCAGAGGGAGAAUUUGCAAAUAUGUCUUUCUUAAAGAGGAUUCUCUUCUCUUACUGGAAAUAUUAUUUAAACACCUACCUACUGCUGACUAUCAAAUUCAAAUGUGUUUUUUAUGAACAUCUUCACAACCCACCUCAACAAACAGAUUCAAGAAAGAAUUAAAGGAAAGAAUGUGUCUAAG